CCCUUAGAUUUUCUGGGCCGCACGCGUGCUACACUGAGUGGAUCAGCGGGUCAGGUUACGCGAGAGCGUUUCCUAAUCUUCAAAUCCGCUCGUGAUGGGGAUUGACGGUUGCAAUUUUCCGUCAUGAACGAGGAAUACCUUGUAAGCGCGGGUCAUCAUCCCGCGCUGAAUACGUCCCUGCCCUUUGUACACACCGCCCGUCGCUCCUACCGAUUGAGUGGUCCGGUGAGGCUUUGGGAUCUAAGCGAAAAGAGCGUUUCGCUCCUUUUGCUGGGAGAACUCAGUCGAACCUUAUCAUUUAGAGGAAGGAGAAGUCGUAACA
rnacentral:rRNA from 1 species